CCUACGGGUGGCAGCAGUGAGGAAUAUUGGUCAAUGGGCGCGAGCCUGAACCAGCCAAGUAGCGUGAAGGAUGACUGCCCUACGGGUUGUAAACUUCUUUUAUAAAGGAAUAAAGUGAGGCACGUGUGCCGUUUUGUAUGUACUUUAUGAAUAAGGAUCGGCUACCUCCGUGCCAGCAGCUGCGGUAAUACGGAGGAUCCGAGCGUUAUCCGGAUUGAUUGGGUUUAAAGGGAGCGUCGAUGGGUUGUUCAGUCAGUUGUGAAAGUUUGGGGCUCAACCGGAAAAUUGCAAUUGAUACUGGCAGUCUUGAGUGCAGUAGAGGUAGGCGGAAUGCGUGGUGUAGCGGUGAAAUGCUUAGAUAUCAGGAAGAACUCCGAUUGCGAAGGCAGCUUACUAACCUGCCACUGACAUUGAUGCUCGAAAGUGUGGGUAUCAAACAGGAUUAGAUACCCUUGUAGUC
rnacentral:rRNA from 1 species